AAGGGAAGCAUGAAGCACGCGAGCUUGCUCAUCUUGGUACUUAACUCUCGGUAUCCGCCUCUCGUCGUGGUGGUGGUGGUGACGGCGUCGAGCCUCGUCAGCCGUGAAUGAUGUUGGCCGACUUGAAGACGACGACGUUGGAGAUGAUGACGCGGUUGAAUCUGAUUGGUUAGGUUUGGUACGUGGGAUUUGAUUUUGAUUAUUAGGGUUUUGAUUGGAGAUUGAUUGAGGAUUUGCCGAGGUGCAAAUUCCAGUACUGGUAACGAUUGUUUGGAGAUUACGGAGUCUGAAGCGAGCGUCGCUACUCUUAACCACGGUUGUGCUGGAGAGUAACCGUUUAGCGGCCGUUCUAUACAUCUUUAAUUGUCACUACUCCGUUUGCAGAAGUGAGUUCUCGGGAAAGAGACGGAAUUGUACGAGUCCAGGUGUCAUUAGC
rnacentral:misc_RNA from 1 species